CUCCUGGGCUCAAGCAAUCCUCCUACUGUAGCUUCCCGAAGUGCUGGGAUUACAGGUGUGUGCCACUGUUCCCAGCUUGAGAUUUUUCUUUAGUCCUGAGAUGUGGCAGUGCUUCUUGGGUGCAGACGCAUAGCAAUCUUAUGUUUUCUUUCUAAUCAGGGCUAACUCAGAGCUUAGACCUAAGAAAACCCAAAAGGCCUUGUAUUCCAGCCUCUCCAUUCUCCACAUAAUGCUGACUCCCCAGAGCAUUCCAAACAAAACGGCCCCUUCACAUGCUCUUCGUUUCCUAGAAGUCUUUCUCCAUCUUGGCACAUAUCUUUAGAAAGCUCUUCCUGGAAUCUGUCAUGCACCGUGAGGGGGAGGUGUUGUUUCAUAUCUAUGCCUUCGCUUUGUAAGUCAGCUACGCCCUUCCCCCUCUUGUGCAUCAGGGCAAACGCUUAUUCUUUCUUCAAAUCCCAGCCCCAGGUCACUUCCUCCAUGAAGCCUUCCUUAUGUUCUGCAGAACGAGUUGAUUCCAUUUCUCCCUUCCCCAUCCCACCACCACAGAUACUCCUGAGGGUAGUACCCUGGCUGACUCAUCUCUCCAUCUCUAGUGCCUGGUUCAGGGCUUGGCCAAGAGAGGAGGCAUGAAUGAAAGAAUGAGAAGGGAAGGAAGGAAGACCUCAGACCACUUUAUACAGCAAUAGCCCCUGUACCACCCUCUGCGAUCUGACCCAGGCCCCUGAUUUUUCUAAGCACUUUUCUAUUCCUGAUCUUACUGGAUCCUCAUGGUGGCCCCAGUGUGGUUUAGGGUAGGGACCCACACCUUGAUUGGCAAAUGAGGAAGCUGAGGUUCCAAGAGGAGAAGUGACUCGCACAAAGUCACCUCAGAACUCCUGUGGGAAACCCAGAACUGCCUCCUUCCUUCCUCUCUUUGUUUUCCUCAGCUCCUCCCUCUGACUCAUUUCCCAUAGGGCUAUGAGAGCAGAGCUGAAAUUCCUGGUGGGAUAUGAAGGAUUUGGGAACCCUGGAAGUCGUUCCUGGGCAGUGAGGAUUUUAUGGUAUGGAUAUACUAUGGCUUGUAUACCUUUCACUUAUUGGAGAGCAUCAGAGUUGUUUCCCCUUUCUGACCAUUACAGAUGAUUAUGAUGAAGUUCUUUGUUCAAGACGCCAAGAACCUGGACACCUUCAACUGGUAACAUAUUUUGGUGAACCAGCCAGAGUUGUGGUCCCUGAUCCCUACAUUUGGUGCAGCUCGGGCAAACUCUCAUGAGUUUCAGGCGACUUACACCUUCUUUUCUUAUGCGAAAUUCUUCCCUUUCCCAGUCCACUGGCUAAGGGCAGAGAAACCCACCUAGCCUCCAGCUCCUAUCAUUAAAGCUCAUGGAACAGGAAACAUGGGAAAGCAUGGCCUUAUCAAGUUAUAAGGAUGCUAGAAGUCAAGGCCUUAAUCCUGGGACAAAAGGAAAGCUCACAGUGGGCCAUCGCCUCUGGUGGGAAAACUUGCAAGUGGCACCAGUGCCCACCUAAGGUCAGAGACGUCUGACACUCUAAGAUUGGACCCCAAAGGGGGACACUCCGGGAGAUCCUCCAGUCCUCAACCUCUCCAAAGCGGACGCCCUUGGCAGAAGUGCUGAGGCCCAGUACUAGGCCCUCUUACGAAUUUUCUCUCACAGUUACAAUACUGUUUGGCCCCAAUCUUGUUUGGAAUCUGAAGUUUGCUGUUGAAUGGGAAAGUGGGAUGGCGUUGCAUGUGGCCAGGCUUUUGUGCUGCUGUUCUAAGUAGGGGGGCUGGUUAACCUGUGAUGCUCUCCUUUGGUGCUGUUUGGGCCCAGUAUUCUUUGGAGUCUGGAGAGGUUUGGCUUUAAAAAUCAAACUGCCAAGGAAACUUCUGUACCUGAAAUUUUGGUUCACAGCCUUCGUUGGAUUACCUAUUGGGGCAAAGUGAAACCAGUGAGCUUGUAUUGCUAUCUCAUGGCUAGGAUUCCAAGCCAUUAGAUCUUCAUUCAUGUGUGUGUAUAUGUCUAGAUAUCUUUAUUUGUAUGUAAUUUAUUGUUAUAUGUUGUGUCUAUCAGAUUGGCUGAUAAGUAAAAGAGCGCUAAUAAAUUAAGCAAAUAAGUCCAAGCAAUCUUCAAGUUCACGUGGCUUAAGUAUAACUUUACAAAACAAGCUGACUUUAAAAUAAUGGGUAAAAUAAAAAUAGAAAUACCUUCA